AUGAAUCCAAAUCCAUUUGAGAUCAAGAAGCAGCCAGUAUUAGUUGCUAAAAGAGCAAAUCCGCCAGCUCCUAAUGGUAACAGUAAAACUAUACAAGUUGAAGAUCGUAUUUCCGCAGAGGCAAGUCAGCUCAUAUUAGCCAUAACAAGUAUGGCACGCCUGCGUGGUGAAAAUGCCUCUGAAGGUGAGACCGUUCGCUUGGGAGAAUUCAAGGUACUGUCGUGUGUUGCUACCAUUGCUUAUGAGCCCCCGAAGUCUGGCAAGGUUGUUGAAAACCAGAAACUGGAAAUGAUCUGUAGGUGGGAAGACCGUAUGAAACCAACAGUGAAAUUGCGCCCAGCCGGAAAUAGUGAGGAGUAUUCAAAGGACCGGACCGAUCUAAAUACCCCAGCUGCCGAUGUCCUAUCUGAAGACAAGGAAGUGAUACCGAAGGCUGAGGCCCCAACAGACGGCCAGAAAAAGAAAGAAAAAGCAGGGAAAGGAAAGGAAAAGCAAGAGGACCAGAAAAACAAAGAAGUGCAGAAAAAGAACGAAGGGCAGAAAGAAAAAGCAGGGAAAUGA
rnacentral:rRNA from 1 species